GGCGUAAAAAGUCGUGACAGUGUUUCUCCUUCAAUUUCAGCUUUGCUAUACCGAUUUUCAGUGUAUUGUGUAAUAACUUAUCGUUGGUAUUAGCUACCACUUCGUGUCUUAAUUUAGGUAUAUCACUUUGUGAAUCUAAAACAGUUUUAAACUGUUAUUUUCAUUUUAAGUGAAGGUAAAAUUAACAAUUUUUAAACUGUUUGAGCUCAAUUAUACUUCUCGAAAAAAGAAGGUAAUGUUGUUUAAGUUAAAAUGGUAUAUGAGGACUUUUAUCAAAUCUGCCUCAUACAAAGUGCCUUGGCAACAAUUGAUUUUUUUUCUUUUCAGUUUAUCUGUGAAACAUUUGAGUGCAUCACAAGUGGUUUCAAACGUAACUAUGGGGCGUAUGUCUCCUGACCGCUUAGCGGUCUAACCCAAAGAAGCGCCUUGCGCCUUCGGCUCUAUGCGUUACGCCUUACUCUUAUGCUUUUAUAUUACAAGGUAUGAUUAGCUCACUGAAUGAAUAACUCAUGAGGUAUUGCUGCAAAAUAUAUAUUCUAUUUAUUAAUUAAUCAGUCUUGAAUUAAAUAAGUACAAAAGUAUAAAAACUUAAAGUAGGGUGUUAUUACUAGUUCUUAGCGCGUUAUGAUGAGAUUCAGACUUGAUGACUUGGAGGAAUCAUUGUUGGUUACCAUUCUUGUGGUAAAUGACAACGUUCUUGAAGAAAGCGUUGCUGACGUUGUUGUUCCACUCAGCGGUGUUGACGGGGCGGUCGAAGGGGAAUCCAAGAGGGCGGUUGUCGAACACCUUCUUGUUGGAGCAAGUCAGGUAGUUGUCCACCUGGUUGUUGUUGUUGUUGUUGUUGUUGUUGUUAUUGUUGUUUCCGUUGCCGUUGAUGAGAUCGCAGUUCUGGCAGUUCUGGCAGUUGGGAGAGUUGGGAGUGUUUUCACAGUUGUUGAACUGGCAUUGGGUUGGGCAGUUACUGUAGUUGGCCUGAACUUGGAAGUUGUCUUGUCCUAUAAUUUUUGCAUAAAUAUUGCGGCAUUAGCAUCAAAUUUGACUCAUUGA
rnacentral:lncRNA from 1 species